UAUUCAGAACUCUUCAUCUCAAGUUCUCAGAAUGAGGCAUUCUCUUCAAUUCUUGGGGCUGCUUUUGUUCUGUAUCUCUGGAGUCAGUGGGGAUGUUGUGAUAACUCAGGAUGAACUCUCCAAUCCUGUCACUUCUGGAGAAUCGGUUUCCAUCUCCUGCAGGUCUAGUAAGAGUCUCCUCUAUAAGGAUGGGAAGACAUACUUGAAUUGGUUUCUGCAGAGACCAGGACAGUCUCCUCAACUCCUGAUCUCUUUAAUGUCCACCCGUGCAUUAGGAGUCUCAGACAGGUUCAGUGGAAGUGGGUCAGGAACAGAUUUCACUCUGAAAAUCAGUAGAGUGGAGGCUGAGGAUGUGGGUGUGUAUUACUGUCAACAAAUUCUAGAGUAUCCUCCACAUUGA